AGAGUUUGAUCAUGGCUCAGAAUCAACGCUGGCGGCGCGCUUAACACAUGCAAGUCGCACGAGAAAGGGAGCAAUCCCAAGUAAAGUGGCGUACGGGUGAGUAACACGUGGAUUAUCUACCUUUUAGUGGGGAAUACCUCUGGGAAACCGGAGACAAUACCGCAUAAGCCCGCAAGGGGAAAGCAGCAAUGCGCUGGAAG
rnacentral:rRNA from 1 species